CUUCACUUGAUGUGGAAGCUGGCUGUUUAUUUGAAUCAGCCAAGCAGUUCUUGGAAGAUGUUAACAUCUAGCAAAGUGUUCUUCCUCCACAGCCUCCAUCUCCAGGGAUAUUUCAGUGAUGUUCUACUUUGUUUCCAUCAGGUGGCUCUAACCUGACUGGACUUCACACCACGUCUUCCUGCCGCUCUGAGUCUUCUGUCUGUGCUGCAGUGACGGCCUUCAAGUCUGAGACCUUCUUACACACCAGACCAGAGUCUAACUGAUGGGAGAGACAAGAUUAGGCUCAAUAUAGACCUCUUUCAUGAAACCUGCAAAUAAUUAGAUUUGAUCAAUAUUUAUUUUAUUUAAAAGUAAAUAUACUUGCUGAAAUUACCAAAUAUAUUUCUGGUUUCUGGUUUCGUGUUGACAGAAAAAAAAGGCAUCUACGUGUUCAGAAAAACAAUACACACCUUCAUUCUCUCAUUCGCUCACCUAGACCAAGACCUUAUGGUCUUUUCCUUUGUGAGACUGCCACAGAGAGCUCUAAAGUAAGAAUAUUCCACCAACUGUGUAGUGAUAGAGUACAUGUUGGUUUCCACCGUAUCACCAGGAUUUUCUUUGCAGCAGUUAGGCUGGAAAGCCAAAUAGUUUUUUCAUGCACAUGUAACCCAUGUUAAUGUUACCUUAAAACCACUAAAAGGGAAAACAAAUAAAAAUGUGAUGUAAGCAAGCAAAUAAAAUUAGGCAUUAAAUCAGUAAUUUAAUGAGUGCAGCAGUAACAGCCAAUCAGAGUGACUCUAGCGCCGCUUGCUGGAGAGAGAGGAAAAACAGAGCGAGAGCAGUUGACCUUGAGAAGGAAACAACAGAGAAGUCUGAAACCGACCGAGAUGAAAGAGUAAAAAACAAGUUUUGAAGACUGUAAAACCUAAUUUCUUUUCCAUUUUUGGAGGAUUUUGUGUUGCUUUUAGUCCACAUUGAUGGAUUCUGUUUUUGGAUUUGCUGAGUGAAAACUACUAUUUACAACAUGUAAAUUAUGCAUUUCCUUGUUUUCUUUCGAGCUGAAUAUAACGUUAAGCCUAAGUGCCAGUAGCUAAACUAAAAAAAUGUGAAUUA